rnacentral:rRNA from 1 species
CCUACGGGAGGCAGCAGUGGGGAAUAUUGGGCAAUGGGCGCAAGCCUGACCCAGCAAAGCCGCGUGAAGGAAGAAGGUUUUCGGGUUGUAAACUUCUUUUCUCAGGGACGAAGAAAGUGACGGUACCUGAGGAAUAAGCCACAGCUAACUAAGGGCCAGCGGCCGCGGUAAUACGUAGGUGGCAAGAGUUAUCCGGAUUUACUGGGUGUAAAGGGCGUGUAGGCGGUAAAGCAAGUCAGAUGUGAAAACCAUGGGCUUCACCCGCGGCCUGCAGUUGAAACUGUUUUUCUUGAGUACGGGAGAGGCAGACGGAAUUCGUGGUGUAGCGGUGAAAUGCGUAGAUAUUAGGAGGAACACCAGUGGCGAAGGCGGUCUGCUGGACAGCAACUGACGCUGAGGCGCGAAAGCGUGGGGAGCAAACAGGAUUAGAUACCCUAGUAGUC